rnacentral:lncRNA from 1 species
UUUAGUGUUGAAUUUGAGUUGAUUUUUCUUAUUUGUGUGUGUAUCAAUUAUAGAUUUUUGAUUAGCAGUUACCCUGAAGUUUUGAUAUAGGAGUCUAUAUAUAUAUAUGAGACUGUUUUAAGUUGUUGGUCUCAAUUCCAAGUGCAUCAUUAGCAUCCUGCAUUUGUCCCCUCCUUUUCUCAUGAUUUCUGAUUUUGGUAGCGUAUUUGUGCAAGGAUGAUUAUCUACCUUUACUGUAUAUAUGCCUUUACUGGUAAGCCUUGUCAUUUGUGGUAUUUUUGUUUCUAGUUGUGGUCUUUUCUUUUUUGCUAGAGAAGUUUCUUUAGUAUUUGCUGUAAAGCUGGUUUAGUGUUGCUGAAUUCUCUUCAAUUUGCUUAUUUGUGAAGCUUUUGAUUUCUCCUUCAAAUCUGAAUGAGAUCCUUGCUGGGUAAAGUAAUCUUGGUUGGAGAUUUUUUCCUUUCAUCACAUUAAAUAUAUCAUUCCACUCCCUUCUGGCCUGCAGAGUUUCUGCUGAAAAAUCUGCUGAUAAUCUUUACCAGGGGUUCCCUUGUAUGUUCUUUAUUUUCCCUAGCUGAUUUCAAUAUUUUCUCUUUGUCUUUAAUUUUGGUUAGUUUGAUUAAUAUGUGCCUUGGGGUGUUCCUCCUUGGGUGUAUUUUAUACGGUACUCAUUGAGCUUCCUGGAUUUGAGUGAGUGGUUCCUUUCCCAUGUUGGUAUGUCUGUGCCUAUUAUCUCCUCAAAUAUUUUUUUCUGUCCCUUUCUCUCUCUCUUCUUCUGCACGCCUAUAAUACAGAUGCUUUUGGUUUAACUUUGUCCCAGAGUUCUCUGAGACUCUCUUUAUUUCUUUUCAAUCUUUUUUCUCUCUUCUGUUCCUCAUCAGUGAUUUCCACUAGUCUGUCCUCCACCUCGCUGAUUUGUUCUUCUGCCUCCUGUAUUCUGUCAUUGGUUGCUUCUAAUGAUUUUUUUUUCAGUUAUUUUGCAUCUCUGCUUAAGUUUUAUAUCUUGUAUCUCUUUGCUCAGUGUUUCCGAUAAAUUAUCCUUCUUAGCCUCCAGUGUAUUUCCAAUGUCUUGCAUCAUCUUUAGCAUCAUCAGUCUAAAGUCUUUUUCCUGGAGGCUCAUAAUCUCCAGAUCACUUAGUUGUUUUUCUGGAGUUUUUUUCUUUUUCCCUUAUCUGAAUUAGAGCUCUCAGCCUUUUCAUUUUUAUAGGUUUUUGGUGUAGUCUCCUUUUUGUAGACAAUAGAGUUGUAGCCUCUUACUUCUGAUGUCUGCCCCCCUUGUGGCUAAAGUUGGUAUGAGGACUUGCUGUAGGCUUCCUGAUGGGAGGGACUAGUGCCUUCCCACUAGUAGGUGGGUCUUUGUCUCUGGGUGAGAUUAGAAGCAGAAGUUUCCCUGGGGGGGGUCUAAAGACCCCCUGAUUACUGAUGAGUGGGGCUGUGAUCUCACCUGGAUUAUUGUUUGACAUGGGGCUCUCAGUGCUGAUGGGUGGGGCCAGAUUUUCCCAAAAUGUCCACCUCCAGAGAAAGGCAUGCUGAUGAAUAUUCCCAAGAGCUUUGCCUCCAAUGUCUUUCCCUGACAAUGAGCCACAGUCACCCCCUGUUUUCCUAGGAGAUCCUCUGAGAACUGCAGUCAAGUCUGAACCAGAUUUCUGUGGAGCCUCUGCUUUGCCCUGGGACCCACUACACAUGAAAGCCCAUGAUCGCCUUUCAAGAAUGUGAUCUCUGUUUCUCCUAGUCCUGUGGAGCUCCUGUGCACAAGUCCCACUGUCCUUCAAUGCCAGAUGCUCCGGGGCCUCUUUCUCCUGGUGCCAGACCCCAGGCGUGGGGACCUGACAUGUGGCUCAGAACUCCCACUCCUGUAGGUGAGUGUCUGUGAUAGAGUUACCAUCCAGUCUGUGAGCUUCUCACCUGUCAGAUAUGGUUUUGCAUAUAUCAAGUAAUCACCCCUCCUACCAUCUUGAUAUGGCCUCCUCUUUGUUUUCUGAAAGUUUCCAGUCCAUUUGCUGAGGGUUGUUUGGCAUUUGGUUGUAAUUCUGUUGUUUUUAUGAGAAAACAUGAGCUCCAGUCCUUUUAUUCAGCCAUCUUAAUGCUGUCUUCCCCAGUGAAUUUUUUUUAAAUAUUUACAACCACACUUUUAAUUUUCAGCAGAUUUUUUAAAAAUAAUUUGAACCUUCCUUUUUAAUCAUCCUUUCUUUGACUGACACACUAUCUUCUCUUAGGUGGGAAUAAAAAUGCUCUUUGGAAGCUCUCUGUUUCUGUAAGGGUGACACUUUCCAUAGGGUACAGUAGUAGGGAUCUGACUAAUUCAGUGGAGAACCUCCAAAUGUCAGAAUCUGAGGAAAGUCAGUAUUCGUGGGCUAGUGUCAUCCAAAAGGAAUUCUCUAAACUCCUGCCAGGCAGGUGAUGGGUGUUACCUUAGAAAUCAGUUCUGAGUGUUGGAGGGGGAGAGGGAUGGGCAUUUUCCUGUUCAGCAGACAGACUUUCAAUUAAACUUGAAAGUUUUCAGUGUUCGUUUCAGAUUUCAUCUGUGCCUAAUGUCCAGAGCCCAGAAUUGUUCUGGUUAAACAGUCCUCUAGACAACCAUCUUCCUAUCUUCUGCUCCACUGAGAAGAAGUACUUCCUAGCUGGAUCAAGUGGGAAAGGGAUCUAGGGAUAGAUACUGAGUUUAACUGGUCUUUAUGCAUAUUUUCCAACCAGUCCUUUUUAUCAGCCCCACUCCAGAGAGCAUCAUGAAUAUCUUAGGCACUGUGCCUAAAGUGCCUUGUGGGUAAGUGACCCUUGUCUUACUCAUUCUGCACAGUGGCUCUUAAUCCUACAGGGCUUUGUAUCACAGAUCCUCUCACUCUAUUUAUUUUCCUUCUUUUAC